GGCCGGAAGGCGGGGCCUCGAUGGGAAACAAAACUGAUACGGAGGCUGAGCAGACACUCUGCGUAAGAUCAUCAUGCCGAACAUAAACUGGACUUUCCCACUUGCCUGGCAGGAGUGAGACAGAUCACUGUGUGCUAAAUGAGCAUCUGAGGGUAUGUAAUUCAAGAGGACUGAAAGACUGAUCCCCUGAAGGCCGCAAGUAUAAAAAAGCUACAUGGUCAGCCCUCAGCCAAGGCAGCUGAUUCUACUGCCCAAGAAACACCAAGCUUGAUCACCAGCAGCUAUGACUACUUAACCCUUAAGUCUAUUUUGAGGUCAUCAACUUGUACCAAGAGAAAGUGGGCUGCUAAAGAGGUGUAUCCCCCAUAAGGGGCAAGCACUUGUCCUCUAAAUUGGCUGGAGACCACUGCAGCUACUUUGCUGCUCAAAACGGCAGCAAUCUGAGAUGAGAUCAACCCUUAGAAGAAGCAAAGCCAACAAAUAAGUAUACCACUUAAGCCUCCUAUCAGGGAGUGCCUGAGGCCAGCCCUCCUUUGGACUUUAUAGAUAAA
rnacentral:lncRNA from 1 species